rnacentral:rRNA from 1 species
UACGUAGGUGGCAAGCGUUGUCCGGAUUUACUGGGUGUAAAGGGCGUGUAGCCGGGUCGGCAAGUCAGAUGUGAAAUCUGGAGGCUCAACCUCCAAACUGCAUUUGAAACUGUUGAUCUUGAGUAUCGGAGAGGUAAUCGGAAUUCCUAGUGUAGCGGUGAAAUGCGUAGAUAUUAGGAAGAACACCAGUGGCGAAGGCGGAUUACUGGACGACAACUGACGGUGAGGCGCGAAAGCGUGGGGAG